rnacentral:rRNA from 1 species
UGCGUAGGCGGUAUUGUGUGUCGAAUGUGAAAGCUCACGGCUUACCCGUGGAAUUGCAUCCGAAACUGCAGUACUAGAGUAUGGGAGAGGUGAGCGGAAUUCUUGGUGUAGCGGUGAAAUGCGUAGAUAUCAAGAGGAACACCGGCGGCGAAAGCGGCUCACUGGACCAAUACUGACGCUGAGGCAACGAAAGCGUAGGGUAGCCAAGA